rnacentral:rRNA from 1 species
UACAGAGGGUGCGAGCGUUGUCCGGAAUCACUGGGCGUAAAGGGCGCGUAGGCGGUCUCUUAAGCGUGUGGUGAAAGCCCGGGGCUCAACUCCGGGUCGGCCGUGCGAACUGGGGGACUGGAGCUUGUCAGAGGCAGGCGGAAUUCCGGGUGUAGCGGUGGAAUGCGUAGAGAUCCGGAAGAACACCGGUGGCGAAGGCGGCCUGCUGGGACAGUGCUGACGCUGAGGCGCGACAGCGUGGGGAUCAAACAGG